rnacentral:rRNA from 1 species
CCUACGGGUGGCAGCAGUGAGGAAUAUUGGUCAAUGGCCGUAAGUCUGAACCAGCCAAGUAGCGUGAGGGAAGACUGCCCUAUGGGUUGUAAACCUCUUUUAUGCGGGGAUAAAGGUGUCCACGUGUGGAUGUUUGCAGGUACCGCAUGAAUAAGGACCGGCUAAUUCCGUGCCAGCAGCCGCGUUAAUACGGCAGGUCCGGGCGUUAUCCGGAUUUAUUGGGUUUAAGGGGAGCGUAGGCCGGUCUGUAAGUGUGCCGUGAAAUUUUGGGGCUCAACCAUGAGAGUGCGGCGAGAACUGGAGGACUUGAGGGCGCGGAAGGCAGGCGGAAGUCGUGGUGUAGCGGUGAAAUGCUUAGAUAUCAGGAAGAACCCCGAUUGCGAAGGCAGCCUGCCGCAGCGUUACUGACGCUGAAGCUCGAAAGCGCGGGUAUCGAACAGGAUUAGAUACCCCAGUAGUC